rnacentral:rRNA from 1 species
UACGUAGGUGGCAAGCGUUGUCCGGAUUUAUUGGGCGUAAAGCGCGCGCAGGCGGUCCUUUAAGUCUGAUGUGAAAGCCCACGGCUCAACCGUGGAGGGUCAUUGGAAACUGGGGACUUGAGUGCAGAAGAGGAAAGCGGAAUUCCACGUGUAGCGGUGAAAUGCGUAGAGAUGUGGAGGAACACCAGUGGCGAAGGCGGCUUUCUGGUCUGUAACUGACGCUGAGGCGCGAAAGCGUGGGGAGCAAACAGG